CCUACGGGAGGCAGCAGUGGGGAAUAUUGGGCAAUGGACGCGAGCCUGACCCUGCAACACCGCGUGAAGGAAGAAGGCUUUCGGGUUUGAAACUUCUUUUAAGAUGGAAAUACAGAAGACGGUACCUCUGGAAUAAUCCACGGCUAACUAAGUGCCAGCAGCCGCGGUAAUACGUAGGUGGCCAGCAUUGUCCGGAUUUACUGGGUGUAAAGGGAGUGUAGCCGGGCUGACAAGUCAGAUGUGAAAUUCCGGGGCUCAACCCCGGAACUGCAUUUGAAACUGUUGGUCUUGAGUAUCGGAGAGGCAGGCGGAAUUCGUAGUGUAGCGGUGAAAUGCGUAGAUAUUAGGAGGAACACCAGUUGCGAAGGC
rnacentral:rRNA from 1 species